CAUUUUCUGAUCAGAUUCUGGGCAUUUAAAUGAACAACACGUGAAUCAGGUCCCUCAGAACGAAAAAGAGAUCG